rnacentral:rRNA from 1 species
AUUGAACGCUGGCGGCAUGCCUUACACAUGCAAGUCGAACGGCAGCACGGGAGCAAUCCUGGUGGCGAGUGGCGAACGGGUGAGUAAUAUAUCGGAACGUGCCCAGUCGUGGGGGAUAACGUAGCGAAAGCUACGCUAAUACCGCAUACGAUCUAUGGAUGAAAGCGGGGGAUCGCAAGACCUCGCGCGAUUGGAGCGGCCGAUAUCAGAUUAGGUAGUUGGUGAGGUAAAGGCUCACCAAGCCGACGAUCUGUAGCUGGUCUGAGAGGACGACCAGCCACACUGGGACUGAGACACGGCCCAGACUCCUACGGGAGGCAGCAGUGGGGAAUUUUGGACAAUGGGCACAAGCCUGAUCCAGCAAUGCCGCGUGCAGGAUGAAGGCCUUCGGGUUGUAAACUGCUUUUGUACGGAGCGAAAAGGCUUCCACUAAUACUGGGGGCUCAUGACGGUACCGUAAGAAUAAGCACCGGCUAACUACGUGCCAGCAGCCGCCGUAA